UACGUAGGUGGCGAGCGUUGUCCGGAAUUACUGGGUGUAAAGCGCGUGUAGGCGGGAGGCCAAGUCUGUGGUGAAAUCGCUCGGCUUAACUGGGCGGGGUCCAUGGAAACUGGUCACCUGGAGGUCGGUAGAGGCAAGUGGAAUUCCCGGUGUAGUGGUGAAAUGCGUAGAGAUCGGGAGGAACACCAGUGGCGAAGGCGGCUUGCUGGGCCGGACCUGACGCUGAGACGGCGAAAGGCG
rnacentral:rRNA from 1 species